UAAAGCACACCCAGGGUCGUAAAGCAUAGCACCACCAGCUAACUUCUGAUUGGUUCCUUGUCACGAGGCAGGCAUCUGACUUUCUAGUGACUAACUUCUGAUGGGUUCCUUGUCACGAGACAGGCAUCUGACCUCUAAGUGACCAAGGCAGGUUUAUGGCAAGCACGUGUUCGGCUGUUAUGGCUGCCGAAAGGGGAGCAGGUCCCUUCAUUCUGGUGUACAUGCAGAACUCAAGCAUGGAUCAAGUGACAUUUCUGCUGCCCAGUUGUCUGG
rnacentral:lncRNA from 1 species